AUGCAAGUCGAGCAGGCCGUGAGGAGCUUUGAUGCUGAAUGUCAAGUGCUGCGAAUGACUCGGCAUCCGAAGUUGAUACGGAUAUUGAAUACUUGUUCCAACAUGGAUUUCAGAGCAUUGCUGCUUCAGUACAUGCCCAAUGGUAGCUUGGAGGCACACCUGCACACUAAAAAUAAGGAGCCACUAGGGUUCAUCAAGAGAUUAUACAUUAUGCUUGGCGUGUCUGAGCGAUGGAAUACCUGCACCACCAUCACUGUGAAGUUGUUCUACACUGUGACCUGA
rnacentral:rRNA from 1 species